rnacentral:rRNA from 1 species
AGUGAACGCUGGCGGUAGGCCUAACACAUGCAAGUCGAACGGCAGCACAGUAAGAGCUUGCUCUUACGGGUGGCGAGUGGCGGACGGGUGAGGCAUACAUCGGAAUCUACUUUUUCGUGGGGGAUAACGUAGGGACACUUACGCUAAUACCGCAUACGACCUACGGGUGAAAGCAGGGGAUCUUCGGACCUUGCGCGAUUGAAUGAGCCGAUGCCGGAUUAGCUAGUUGGCGGGGUAAAGGCCCACCAAGGCGACGAUACGUAGCUGGUCUGAGAGGAUGAUCAGCCACACUGGAACUGAGACACGGUCCAGACUCCUACGGGAGGCAGCAGUGGGGAAUAUUGGACAAUGGGCGCAAGCCUGAUCCAGCCAUACCGCGUGGGUGAAGAAGGCCUUCGGGUUGUAAAGCCCUUUUGUUGGGAAAGAAAAGCAGCAGGUUAAUACCCCGCCGUUCUGACGGUACCCAAAGAAUAAGCACCGGCUAACUUCGUG